UGGGGAAUAUUGGACAAUGGGGGGAACCCUGAUCCAGCCAUGCCGCGUGUGUGAAGAAGGCCUUAUGGUUGUAAAGCACUUUAAGCGAGGAGGAGGGUACUGGUAUUAAUACUACCAGGUACUGGACGUUACUCGCAGAAUAAGCACCGGCUAACUCUGUGCCAGCAGCCGCGGUAAUACAGAGGGUGCGAGCGUUAAUCGGAAUUACUGGGCGUAAAGCGCGCGUAGGUGGUUCGUUAAGUUGAAUGUGAAAGCCCCGGGCUCAACCUGGGAACUGCAUCCAAAACUGGCGAGCUAGAGUAGGGCAGAGGGUGGUGGAAUUUCCUGUGUAGCGGUGAAAUGCGUAGAUAUAGGAAGGAACACCAGUGGCGAAGGCGACCACCUGGGCUCAUACUGACACUGAGGUGCGAAAGCAUGGGGAGCAAACAGG
rnacentral:rRNA from 1 species